GAUGAACGCUGGCGGCGUGCCUAAUACAUGCAAGUCGAGCGAACAGACGAGGAGCUUGCUCCUCUGACGUUAGCGGCGGACGGGUGAGUAACACGUGGAUAACCUACCUAUAAGACUGGGAUAACUUCGGGAAACCGGAGCUAAUACCGGAUAACAUGUUGAACCGCAUGGUUCAACAGUGAAAGACGGUUUUGCUGUCACUUAUAGAUGGAUCCGCGCCGCAUUAGCUAGUUGGUAAGGUAACGGCUUACCAAGGCAACGAUGCGUAGCCGACCUGAGAGGGUGAUCGGCCACACUGGAACUGAGACACGGUCCAGACUCCUACGGGAGGCAGCAGUAGGGAAUCUUCCGCAAUGGGCGAAAGCCUGACGGAGCAACGCCGCGUGAGUAAAGAAGGUCUUCGGAUCGUAAAACUCUGUUAUUAGGGAAGAACAAAUGUGUAAGUAACUAUGCACGUCUUGACGGUACCUAAUCAGAAAGCCACGGCUAACUACGUG
rnacentral:rRNA from 1 species